rnacentral:tRNA from 1 species
GGGUGGGUAGUUCAGUGGUAGAACGCUGUCCUGAUAAGACAGAAGUCGAAGGUUCAAUCCCUUCUCCACCCA